rnacentral:rRNA from 1 species
GACGAACCGUGCAACCGUUGUUCGGAAUCACUGGGCUUAAAGGGCGCGUAGGCGGGCCAGCCAGUCUGUGGUGAAAGCCUCCAGCUUAACUGGAGAAGUGCCGUGGAUACUGCUGGCCUCGAGGAGGAUAGGGGCAUCUGGAACGGUCGGUGGAGCGGUGAAAUGCGUUGAUAUCGACCGGAACUCCGGUGGCGAAGGCGAGGUGCUGGGUCCUAUCUGACGCUGAUGCGCGAAAGCCAGGGGAGCAAACGGG